GUGCCAGCAGCCGCGGUAAUACGUAGGUGGCAAGCGUUAUCCGGAAUUAUUGGGCGUAAAGCGCGCGUAGGCGGUUUUUUAAGUCUGAUGUGAAAGCCCACGGCUCAACCGUGGAGGGUCAUUGGAAACUGGAAAACUUGAGUGCAGAAGAGGAAAGUGGGAUUCCAUGUGUAGCGGUGAAAUGCGCAGAGAUAUGGAGGAACACCAGUGGCGAAGGCGACUUUCNUGGUCUGUAACUGACGCUGAUGUGCGAAAGCGUGGGGAUCAAACAGGAUUAGAUA
rnacentral:rRNA from 1 species